AGAAAAGAAGAAAGAAAAAAAGAAGAAGAAGAAGAAGAAGACAGAGGAGAGGGUAGAGCGGAGGAGAUGAACAACGGAGCUUGAAGCGCUCGUCAGCAACAGUGGGCCAAACAAUUGAAGAAGGGAGAAUGCCGACGGUAAGCCCUAGUGGUGUGAUUUUCGUUGUUCCUUUCCAAAACCCUAAUACAUUUCACUGAAUCGGUGUACCUACGUUAUUGUCGAGGGAAGUUGGUGAGUCCUUGUGAAGAAGAAGACAUGUGGUGCUGAGAGGAAAGAAAGAUCAAGAAGAAGGUGGGAAGAAGAGGCCGAAAACUGAGGGGACCCGACCCACCUGAAAUUUUCAAUUAGCUUAGUCAAGGGGACACUUGAAGACUUGAUAAAGUUUUGGGAAGUCUACAAUCAGGAGAAAAGUAGAUCUGGGUCGGUGGCGGGGACGUGUGGAGUCGUGUAGUUGUAGAAGGGGCCCCUUAGAUUGAGCCUCUUCUUCCAUGUUGUUUUGGUUAUGAUUUUGACGUUUUUGGAAAACCUGCAAUAUUUUGUAACUGUUUCUAUCUAUGUGACUCCACGGUUCUCGUUAUGUGUUUUGUAUUUUUUUUUUUGAGAUGUAUAUCAGGCAACUUUUAAUUUCUAGUCCCUGUUCAAACAAUAAGAAGUAUUGAAAGGUUAUUUUUACUCUUGAG